GCCACCCUAGCUCAGCUGGUAGAGCAGCUCACUCGUAAUGAGCAGGUCGUCGGUUCGAAUCCGACGGGUGGCUCAA
rnacentral:tRNA from 1 species